GACGAACGCUGGCGGCGUGCCUAAUACAUGCAAGUCGAACGCAGUGGGGACGGGUGAGUAACACGUGGGUAACCUCCCAUCAGAGGGGAUAACACUUGGAAACAGGUGCUAAACCGAUACUGAUGGAUGGACCCGCGGUGCAUUAGCUAGUUGGUGAGGUAACGGCUCACCAAGGCCACGAUGCAUAGCCGACCUGAGAGGGUGAGCUCCAACACUGGGACUGGGCCAGGGCCCAGACUCGUACAUGAUCCAUCAGAAAUGAAUCUUCGGUAAUGGACGAAAGUCUGACCGAGAAACGCCGGGUGGGUGAAAAAGGUUUUCGGAUGGUAAAACUCUGUUGUUAGAGAAGCGGUAUCUAACAAGAAAGCCACGGCUAACUACGUGCAAGCAGCCGGGGUAUAC
rnacentral:rRNA from 1 species